rnacentral:tRNA from 1 species
CUCGGCGGUGGCGAGGGCGAUGUGGUCGCGGUUGAUGUCGACGCCGUCGGAGUUGCCGCGGGUGUUCGCGGCGCGCCCGUCGGGG